CUGUCAGUCCCUGCGGGGACAGCAUGAACGCGCUACUGCUGUACCGGCGUUGACCACCGCUUGUGAUCGCUUCCACAGCCGCUCGCUGCUCAUUCCGUGAGGAAGGACCGCUGCUUCUUCAACAGGACGCAGCAGCUGCAACAGGCUCUACAACGUGCACCCGAUACGACAAAGGUAGGCAGGAUGGAGGGUGAGUCGGAGGCGACCACGCUGUCGCUGGCGCUGUCCAACUGGACGACGGCGGCGGUGACGGCUGCGGCCUCGGCUGCUGACGCCGACGGCAACUGGACGGAGGCGGGACUGGGCAGCGGGCAGCGGCCGGCGCU